rnacentral:lncRNA from 1 species
GGUUUCCCCAUGUUGGCCAGGCUGGUCUCGAACUCCAGACCUCAGGUGAUCCGCCCACCUUGGCCUCCCAAAGUGUUGGGAUAUAGGCAUGAGCCACCAUGCCCUGGCUAAUGUCUUUCUUUUGUCUUAUCUGUGGUUGACAGCUUGGCAUGGCAAAGAACUCUACGCUCAAAUUCAUUUUCUCUCAGAACUUUGAAAGUCUCUCUUCCACUGUCACAUAAUGUCUGGUGCUGGAUAUGAAACUGUUGAUACCAGUUUCAUUAUUUUUGAGAGGGUUUCACUCUGUCACCCAGGCUAGAAUGCAGUGGUGUGAUCAUAGCUCAUUGCAGCCUCCAACUCUUGGGCUCAAGCGGUUCUCCUGCCUCAGCCUCCUGAGUAGCUGGGACUACACAUGAGCACUGCCAUGCCUGGCUAAUUUUUAAACAUUUUCCUGUCGACACAGGGUCUUACUAUGUUGCCCAGGCUGGCCUCCAACUCCUGGCCUCAAGUGAUCCUCCCACCUUGGCCUCCCAAACCUGAGGCCGGAGAAUUGUUUGAAUCCAGGAAGCGGAAGUUGCAGUGAGCUGAGAUUGCACUACUGCACUCCAGCCUGGGCGAAAAGAACAAAACUCUGUCCCAAUAAAUAAAUAAAUAAAUAAAUAAAUAAAUAAAUAAAUAAAUAAAAUAAAAUACAUAAAUUAAAAGUAAAGUAAAAUCCAAUUUUCCUCUACUCAAUGACUCACUCCUCUUAAAAACAUGCUUGUGGACUGGGGGCGGUGGCUCACGCCUGUAAUCCCAGCACUUUGGGAGGCCAAGGUGGGCAGAUCACAAGGUCAGGAGUUCGAGACCAGCCUGGCCAACAUGGUAAAACCCCAUCUCUACAAAAAA